AGAGAGAGACAUGCGCGCAUAUCAAUAAGCGGAGGAAAAGAAACUAACAAGGAUUCCCUUAGUAACGGCGAGUGAAGCGGGAAGAGCUCAAAUUUGAAAUCUUCAAGGUUCUACCUUGACGAAUUGUAGUUUAUAGAAGUGUUUUCUGUUAGUGGAGUGGCAAAAGUUCUUUGGAAUAGGACAUCAUAGAGGGUGAGAAUCCCGUAUUUGGUCAUUCCUCCUAGCGUUGUGAUACACUUUCAACGAGUCGGAUUGUUUGGGAAUGCAGUCUAAAAUGGGUGGUAAAUUUCAUCUAAAGCUAAAUAUUGGCGAGAGACCGAUAGCGAACAAGUACCGUGAGGGAAAGAUGAAAAGAACUUUGAAAAGAGAGUUAAACAGUACGUGAAAUUGUCAAAAGGGAAGCGUUUGACACCAGUGUUGUUUUUCCGAAAAUCAAUUACGAAUGUUUUGUUUUUGAGGAGUUAUGACUUCAUCGGCUUGCUCCUUUCUUUACGAAACUUUCUUAAUGCACUUUUCGGUUAACAAGUCAACAUCAAUUUCUUUUGUUGUAAAAGGGUAUGAGGAAGGUGGCUUUCUUUUCGGAGAAAGUGUUUAUAGCCUUGUACCUCUGCAAUCGGAGAGAUUGAGGUCUGCAGCGUAGAUCCUUCGGGGUUAGAUACAUUUGUGCUAAGUUAUAGCUUUUCAUAGACAACUUGUUGACUAUGUUUAGUCUUGUAGCUUACUCGCUUAUGCUACUUUACCUACGCUUAGGAUGUUGAUCUGUAGUGCGUGCGC
rnacentral:rRNA from 1 species